rnacentral:rRNA from 1 species
CCUACGGGAGGCAGCAGUGAGGAAUAUUGGUCAAUGGUCGCGAGCCUGAACCAGCCAAGCCGCGUGAGGGAUGAAGGUACAGAGUAUUGUAAACCUCUUUUGUCAGGGAGCAAAGGCCGGGACGUGUCCCCGGCUGAGUGUACCUGAAGAAAAAGCAUCGGCUAACUCCGUGCCAGCAGCCGCGGUAAUACGGAGGAUGCGAGCGUUAUCCGGAUUUAUUGGGUUUAAAGGGUGCGCAGGCGGUCGGUAAAGUCAGCGGUAAAAGCCAGGGGCUCAACCCCGGCGCGCCGUUGAAACUGGCAGUCUCGAGUGGGAGAGAAGUAUGCGGAAUGCGCGGUGUAGCGGUGAAAUGCAUAGAUAUCGCGCAGAACUCCGAUUGCGAAGGCAGCAUGCCGGCUCCAAACUGACGCUGAGGCACGAAAGCGUGGGUAUCGAACAGGAUUAGAUACCCUUGUAGUC